AACCGUGGUCCCCCUCCUCGCCUGUAACUCAGCAACACAGGUAACUAUUUUUUUUCCGAUCAAAACCCCCCAAUUUAAUUUUUAGGGUUACCGUUAUUUAGCAAUGGGCUAUUUUUAUUUCUCGAUCUGGAUUGGUUUUCUUCGUCUAUGCAAGGAAGCUACGUAAGUUAGUUUGUGCUGAAGAAGUUGUUCUUGCAGCUGUAGAAGAGCUUGUCAUGCCCUGAAGGGAGAGAACAGCAGACUUCAUGCGGAGGAUGCACAGCUUAAUUGCACAGUUGUAGAAGAUCCUGUGAGGUUAUGUUGUCAACUUACAAUUUCUUUAUUCUAGUGGUUUCCUUAUUAGUGCAACAUAAUUUGAAGUACGUCAUUAGCAAUGCUCAUUGUUUUGGUGGGAUUGGUUGCACCAUGACAGAGUUCAGUUGGGAUCGAUGUCAAGUAUGCUGGCCUUCAAAUCAUGGCUUCCAAGAAAGCUGCAUUCGUCUCGGCCUUGGAAUUAGUUGACAGGGUAAUGGGAAUGGAUCAUCCGUCUAAAUUUCACGAUGGCAUUUGAUCUUGUGGACUCUACUGAAGCUGAUGAGAAUUUGAACGUGGAAUCGCCUGACCUGUUUUAUGCUGGCUUUGAUAGAAAUUAAUGAUUGGAGAGAUGCUGAAACUGAAUAAAAUGAGACAGUGCAGCAAGCUGUUCUUGGUGUUUGCUUAUUGUGCUAAGGAGGGAAUACAUGUGUUUAAAUUU